GGUUUUCAAACCUGUCCCCAGGCCUCCCCAACAGGCCAGAUUUUCUGGAUUACCUUGGAUGAGAGCAGAAACAUGUCAAAGGGUCUAUAAAGACAUUACUGACCAUGAAAUGAGAAGAUGCAUAGGGGAUUGCCAAUCCCACACAAGAAUUGUUUGUGGUCACAGGCCGGUGCCAAAUUCAAGAUCAUAGAACAGAUACAGAUGGACAUCAUAUUAUAUUUUUGUUGUUCUGUCAACAUUAUUGUGCAUCUGC